CCUUGAGUAGCCUUAUGGAUUCACAUGGAAGCAGGGGCGGCGGCGAGAUGGGAGAUCUCUCGUCGAUGAAAACUCGAUGGCUGAAAUCCCUAAGCUCUCUCAGAACCUUUCGAUGCUGUUUGUGGGAGCAAAAUGCUUCAGAGCAAUGCGGCUUUUGAAGAUCCGCGGCAAUAUAUUUGGACAAAGAUUCAUACUCCUUUGAUGGUGGACAUGGCAUAUCAAGUUGAGUCACGUAAAUGAAGAUGAUGUAAAGGCUUCAAAAUCUUCAAUGGCUCGGUUCAUUGCAUGAAGAAUCAUCUUCCUUAUCUGUCGUUCACACAGAGGAGAGAAUUCAUUUUAGAAAGAAAAUUGUUGGAGCAGUUUGGAAUAGUAUGAAGAAGGGAUGAGAUGUUUUGCCUCUAAU